rnacentral:rRNA from 1 species
CCUACGGGAGGCAGCAGUGAGGAAUAUUGGUCAAUGGGCGCAAGCCUGAACCAGCCAAGUCGCGUGAGGGAUGACGGUCCUAUGGAUUGUAAACUUCUUUUGUCGGGGAGCAAGGCCCGCCACGUGUGGCGGGAAGGAGAGUACCCGAAGAAAAAGCAUCGGCUAACUCCGUCCCAGCAGCCGCGGUAAUACGGAGGACGCGAGCGUUAGCGGGCUUAAUUGGGUUAAAAGGAGUCGUAGGCGGAAGGUUAAGUUAGCGGUAAAAUGUCGGGGCUCAACAUCGCACUGCCGUUGAAACUGGUCUGCGUGAGUGAGCGAGAGGUAUGCGGAAUGCGUGGUGUAGCGGUGAAAUGCAUAGAUAUCACGAAGAACUCCGAUUGCGAAGGCAGCAUACCGGAGCUCAACUGACGCUGAGGCACGAAAGCGUGGGGAUCGAACAGGAUUAGAUACCCUUGUAGUC